GAUGAACGCUAGCAACAGGCUUAACACAUGCAAGUCGAGGGGAAACGGCAUUGAGUGCUUGCACUCUUUGGACGUCGACCGGCGCACGGGUGAGUAACGCGUAUCCAACCUUCCCAUUACUGUGGGAUAACCUGCCGAAAGGCAGACUAAUACCGCAUAGUCUUCGAUGACGGCAUCAGAUUUGAAGUAAAGAUUUAUCGGUAAUGGAUGGGGAUGCGUCUGAUUAGCUUGUUGGCGGGGUAACGGCCCGCCAAGGCUACGAUCAGUAGGGGUUCUGAGAGGAAGGUCCCCCACAUUGGAACUGAGACACGGUCCAAACUCCUACGGGAGGCAGCAGUGAGGAAUAUUGGUCAAUGGACGGAAGUCUGAACCAGCCAAGUAGCGUGCAGGAUGACGGCCCUAUGGGUUGUAAACUGCUUUUGUAUGGGGAUAAAGUUAGGGACGUGUCCCUAUUUGCAGGUACCAUACGAAUAAGGACCGGCUAAUUCCGUGCCAGCAGCCGCGGUAAUACGGAAGGUCCAGGCGUUAUCCGGAUUUAUUGGGUUUAAAGGGAGCGUAGGCUGGAGAUUAAGUGUGUUGUGAAAUGUAGACGCUCAACGUCUGACUUGCAGCGCAUACUGGUUUCCUUGAGUACGCACAACGUUGGCGGAAUUCGUCGUGUAGCGGUGAAAUGCUUAGAUAUGACGAAGAACUCCGAUUGCGAAGGCAGCUGACGGGAGCGCAACUGACGCUUAAGCUCGAAGGUGCGGGUAUCAAACAGG
rnacentral:rRNA from 1 species